GUCGAGCUUCGGGUGUUUACAGGAGUGGUGGUAGCCUCGGCGAAAGAAGAAAACCUUGUGGUUUGAAAGGGAAAGUCCAUUUGAGCGUUCCAUGCUCACUACCCAGUUCCUACGGUCCUAUAUAAAAAAAGUCCGUUCGAUGUGCACUAAAAAGCGUUUAUUAACCGUCCCCGGUUGAACCCUUUCAAAUGUUCCAUAAGGUAAUGCCAAUGUCCGGAUGUAUCGUAGAAGCUGAAAACAACAGUUUUAUGCGAACAUGAAUAUAAGAAACGACAAGAGUUCUGUUAAAAAAAAGAAAAAAAAAGCUUUUCCCCCCUGAGGGGCCGGAGACGUAGUCCUGCUACGUAUGCCAGUAGAAUAAUUUGUUUAUUUAUCCAAGCUGUUCCAGAAUUUCAGAGUUUUGUUUUUAUUUCUUCUCGAGUGUGUCUCGAUGUUCCCGGUUUGUUGUCUGUAAGUUAUCCUCAUGAAAGAAAGACGACUAGAGAACCAAAACAUUGAAGGAAUCCAGUAGAAGUUGUUCAACAUGAACAAUUACUCCCCUCCAUCCUUUAACAACCGAAUACUAACACGAGUAUCCUUAAUUUUUUGAGUUUAGGAUACUAGGUUUACUGCGAACACACUCUUUUGGGUUUACUUUUAGGAAGUCUUCAAGAUAUCUUUUUAGGAUGUUAGGUUUCUGCGGACCCUGUAGUCUAAAAAACACUACAUCUUCGUUAGUGCAGGGAUAUAAAAAAAAUUUUCGUUAGUCCAGGGACCUUUUAUUUUAUUUUUCGUUAGUUCAGGGGCUACUGCUCGAGCAGCGGCCUCGGCUAUACACGUAGCCGGCCGGAAGUCGCGAAGCAACCUCGUCAUCGUCGGCCUUCGUCGCCGUCGUCGUACCCGUUCGUCGUCGCGGUACCUCUUCGUCGCUGUUCGUCAUCACCUCCGUAGUCGUUCGUCCUCGUCGAGCUCCUCCCCUACCCUCCGGCGCCGCCGGCUCCCGGUCACCGGCAGUACCGCGUGCCCCGCGUUGCGCCCGAACGAGUCUACCCCCGCCCCGUUCCUUCCCUCUCGACCUCCCCACACCGCCUCGAGGCCGAGCGGCCACCGCCAGCGGCCGACCCACCUUCGAGGACGUCACCCUUAACCCCUAAAACAGAAAAGAGUAAUCCUUAAAUAUUCACUCUGACUGUACACCCGGGGUACACAUUCAAUUGACAGUUGUUCGUAGAUAUAUAUAUGGUUGUAUUUUUAUGGGUUUCCCCGUCUACUUUCUUGUACGCCACGGGGGUACAAACCAAAACCAUUAACUACUGUUAGAGAUACCUGAUUACCAACGGAACUCAAUAUAAACUUCCUAAACAGGUAUCCGAAAAGAACUUCAGGUACACAACCAAAGUUUCUCAAAUACACCACUGGUUCCACAAUAAUUCCUUAAUAGGUUUCUAACCAGUACACUCUCAUCUCGAAUAACGUUCGUACAGAACUUCUUCUUCUAACACACUAGUAAGUACAAAUAGAAGUUCUGUAGUAGGUUUACUUCUCUCAACCUUUCUCAGUUCCAACUAGUUCUGAUUUAGUUCUCACUUAGUUCAACUAGUUGUGUGUUUCGCGUGUUCUACAUGGCUCUCCCUAGUUCGCUAGGGUACCACACCAUUCGUAACAGUUAAUGCGAAACACAUGAUUGGGUACUAGAAGCACUCUCAAUAAACACCCCAAUCCAACGCCACACGUUCAAGUUCACUUCGUAGUACUUCUCUAGUUUACGAACUUCGAACGGCAGGUAACACCACUGUUACCUGACCACUUCUACACGCCUUCUCACCGAGUGGGUAUCACCUCAUACCCCCUCGUUAGUUGAUCUGAAGUAGCUCGGUUGUGUUGGUUCUUUCCACCAGGUAGAACUCCCUCAGUUCUAGCAGUAGUAGUUCGAGUUCACCUGGUACACGUUCCGUUUCCGUGUAGAAGGUUGGCCUCUUCAACAGCGACACUUCGACGAGAUAGUCUACUGUCCCAAACUGCUGUUCUCUAAGAGCUUAUUUACAUGUGUUGAAUACUCGUGGUUGGUGUUCUUAUAACACUCUAAUAACCCGAUAAGUAUGCUUCUUGUACUUCUUAGUGUACACGUGAUACCCUGUAGGUAUACACCACAUAUGUAUGUGUCCAAUUAGCCGAAACUCAUACACGGACCACCUUUAGAAACGUUAAAAUAAAGUCUAGUUGCAGAACCUACCUCAUAUGCGAAGUUUUAUUAUUUCCCCUAGACGCUCCCAAAUGUUAUGGAAGUACUUCGACUGUAACACGUGAGAUUAGAGUUGGGUCCAUUAUAAAACGAUCUACCACUCUUCUAUGGUUUUUAGUGUCUAAAGCCAAAUAGAGCCUACAAGUUCGGUCAUUUGCUCUCUCGGUGUUACUCAUUUCGAUAAAGAAUACCUACCGCUGCAUACUAUGUACUUCCUCACCACAGUUUUUCCAGACUGUAUAAAUCGAACCCACGAGAUUAAUUUCAAUAUAACUGACCUUCAUGCCUUCUUAGCCUGUAAUUAACGUACCUGCCAGGACUUACACAACUCGUACAUGUGUUUACGACCUCCUUUGCCGAUGUUCUCUAUUCCUCUAUAGGGAGUAAACUUCGUCUAACGUUUGUUCACUCCCGAACAUAGCUUUAGCGUCAUCUGACGUACGUGUUACUGGUUGUUGUUUCCGGAGACUAAUUGCUAUAGCAAGCAUUUGAUAUACUUCAUCUUCGAUUCCCUCUAAUGGGUGGUAGUGUCUACCCUGUCCCGUAAGUACUAAAACUUCAUUCCUUUUACAGUAAUUUUCUCAACCUUUUCUAGUGCUCAUUAAAGAGACUUUUUGAACCAGUACUACUGAAGCCACGACAAAUAUUCCCUUCCUAACCUCCACCCCUUCACUAUCGACACUUCUCUAAACUACUCUCUAAUUCUUUUGAUUUCCUAGUUAAACUCUCUCACCAUUUGGAAUACUCCGAGUUCGUGUUUUUAUAUCAUGCUGACUACCCGAUGACGAUGCUCGGUUGUGUUCAUGGUCAAGGACUACUUUUCUUAGGUCUUUUCUGUUACACCACCUUAUAAUAUCUCUUAAACCAGACGAUACUCAAAAACGGUUUGCCUUCAGAUCUGUACUAUAAUUUACUGUUUAGAACGUUUGAGCUAACCGUUUGAGCAGUGUUUUAUUAUGUACCGUAAACACUCCCUAACGUAAUGGAAGUGCACCUUACGGUCCUACGGGGGGAACAGGUACUCCCAAAAUUUGGACGGUUAUAAAACGAUCUAUUACCGUACCAGGGCUUCGAUCGCCUAAAGACGUGAAGUUACCGACAGUGUAGUUCACAGGCGUCGAACCGCUGGUCCCACAAGUCGGCACGACGCUUCAGCAGCUGCCGGAGCCGCAGUGGGUAGAACUCGACGAGCUUGAGUUCGGAGUAGCGGACUUCCGAGCGGACGACGUGCGCCAGCACUGGCUGCACGCGACGCGCCUACCAAAGGGUGCGGCGGAAACGGCUCAGGAACGGUCGCUCCCUGCCGUACUUCCUCAGGCCGUGCGAGACCAUCUACCGCAUGUCCCGGAGAGCUAGAUGGAGUAUUAGGCGCCAGCAGGCGAGGUGGCGGAGGGUCUACGCGCGACUGACGUAGCGGUGGGAGUAGAAAUAGUGGGUCUACCCCAUCAAACAGAAGCAGUCGACGCCGGUGUGCUCGCCGGGCGCGCCGGCGGGCGAGACGCGAUGGCUGUGGCGGUUGCCAUCGUCGAGCGACGACGGCCGUCAGAAGCGUAGGCGGAACAGUCGUCGGGGGAAGGGGCGUAGUCGGUUGCGGAACCGCCGAAGGCGGAGGAGGACGCCGCAGCCGCGGUAGAGGAAGAGGAUCGAGGAUUGAAGCCGAGACCACGGUUUACUGUCCGGGUUUCAGAGCGAGCAGAGGGAAAGAUUGCCACCUGUGUGUGCCCUGAGCCUAGAACCCAGCAGCCUCUUCUUAGUCGUCGUCCUUUAGUUGGUCUCUUUCCUACGUGUGGUCUCCCAUGUAUCGUGGUCUCCAGUACCUGUGGCCUUUACAAUGUCAGUUCAGUUUAUACAUGUCAAACCCACAAGACUAUUAUCUCUAGCGGUGGCCUCUGUCCACAGGAUCGCUGCUUAGUAGUCCUGCCAGUAUAUAGCUCUUACGUCAUUUAUGAACCUACGUUCCAAGGUUGCAGCUUAACUUCAUGGGUAGUGAACUUCGCCCAAAGUAGGUUGUUCACCUCACAACCUAGUUGUAACCCGACUUAACACACCUAUAGGUUGGGCUUUCUUCCGGAUGAUAACCUGUUUAUUACGUAAAGGAACUCUGAUUUAGACGGUUAGGUCUCAUAAUGAUGAUACCUCUUAAGUAGUACAGGAGACUCUCGUCGUAGUGCCGUACCAGAAGAAGUCUUUACGCAUUAGUUCGCUUACUUGACUUCCGGGACCUCUCGUACAAUUCACUACGUUCACGUCUCGGUUGUUUCGAUAGUAUACGUGAAAAUUUUAGUCAAUGUUCUUUAAAAAGAGCUUACUAACCCGCACCACCCAAACCUCGACAAAUGGACCCUUAAGAAGGUUUUCCCUUUCAACGACACUUCUUCGAGACAUAUAACGUCCUAAAUAGAUUAUUACGUAAGCACCUGCUCUAACAUACAAAUUUUUUCCGUGUAGUAUCAUUACAUCAGUCUGAAGAUCCGAUAACACGUCAACGUGUGCCACUUGACUACCUUCACUUACCUUGUGUACAAUAUCGUCUCCUUUGUGUUUCCAAUGAGACGAAACUCAUACAAGGAUUACCUCUGGAAGUCUUAAUAUAAUUUCUCUUUACACGACCUGUACUUACCGUUUAUGCAAUGGUUUACUAAUUCCCCUAGACGGUACCAGAUGUGAUGGAAGUGUUUGUUGCGUAAUGAGUAGACCUAGACUUUGGACUCUUGCAAGACGACCUACGAUUGUACCUUGGUUUUUAAUGUCUGAAACCAGACAGUUCUAAGGAACGACUUCCCCUUAGGUAUUAACACUGGUUCGUUUAUAAACCUUGUGCCCCUAGUUAACGUGGUCUUGAAUAAUUAUCACCACUUUAUAGUAAGUUCAGUCUGUAUAUACCGAACCCACAGUAUUAGUGUUUUGAUAAUUGUUCUCUAUUGUUGAUGCUAAAGCUUUUAACCGUAUUUUGUGAUCUCCACCCGACGAGUGUUCUCUUUUCCACACAACUCUAUCGAGCUUUUACACACCUCAUACUGGUUGUAUUCUCCGGAUGCUACCUACUCUAGUACGUCCUCGACUUGCUCUACCUCUUGUGAUAGGUUCUCUUCUUCGGAAGUCAACAAGUUUUUACCUCUUUGUUGGACAGCAGAAGUGACUUCCCCGUGACCUCUGUCUCCUUCCUAGCUUUGAUCGUGUAAGUCAGGUGGGACGAACCUCGGACUUCUGCAGUCCUCUGAAGGUGGGGCACACCUAUUUAACGAACUACACUACACGAUAACAAACACGUACCAAUAUAGAGCUAGCCAGACAUUGUCACAGUAAGCGUUACACCGUCACUGAAACUAUAGCACCGGUUAACACAAAAGCUCAACAAGUCUAACGCUGAGACGAACCAAGUAGCCCAACGUCUGGUCUGGAUCGAUCGUGAACCAGACUUGACCAACAUAGUCAUAGCGACAACAGUAUACAAUAACCAAUUUCUUUUA
rnacentral:rRNA from 1 species